AACCCUUGUCCUAGUUACCAGCACGUUAUGGUGGGCACUCUAAGGAGACUGCCGGUGACAAACCGGAGGAAGGUGGGGAUGACGUCAAGUCAUCAUGGCCCUUACGGCCUGGGCUACACACACGCUACAAUGGGAAGGGACAAUAGGUCGCGAAGCCGCGAGGCGGAGCCAAUCCAGCAAAACUUCCCUCAGUUCAGAUUGCAGGCUGCAACUCGCCUGCAUGAAGUUGGAGUUGCUAGUAAACGCAGGUCAGCCAUACUGCGUUGAAUACGUUCCCGGGGCUU
rnacentral:rRNA from 1 species